UACAGAGGUCCCCAGCGUUGUUCGGAUUCAUUGGGCGUAAAGGGUGCGUAGGCGGCGGGGCAAGUCUGAUGUGAGAUCCUGGGGCUCAACCCUGGAACUGCAUUGGAUACUGCCUUGCUAGAGAACUGGAGAGGAGACUGGAAUUUACGGUGUAGCAGUGAAAUGCGCAGAUAUCGGGAAGAACACCCGUGGCGAAGGCGGCACUCUGGGACGGUACUGACGCUGAGACGCGAAAGCGUGGGGAGCGAACAGG
rnacentral:rRNA from 1 species